rnacentral:rRNA from 1 species
CGCCUCUUGAAUGCCCAUAAGAGGUCCAGCCUGCCCAGUGACUCUGUUCAACGGCCGCGGUAUCCUAACCGUGCAAAGGUAGCGUAAUCACUUGUUCUUUAAAUGUGGACUAGUAUGAACGGCACCACGAGGGCUAUACUGUCUCCUUUUUCCAAUCAGUGAAACUAAUCUCCCCGUGAAGAAGCGAGGAUAAAAUUAUAAGACGAGAAGACCCUAUGGAGCUUUAAACAAUAUAGCACCUGCCCACAAUACAAAAAUUCCUGGAUCUCAAACCUAUUAAGCAGCAUGACUAUAAGUUUUUGGUUGGGGUGACCACGGAGCAUAAAACAACCUCCACGCUGAAAAUAUUUUUAAGCUAAGAACUACCCGUCUAAGCAUCAAUAUACUGACACCCAUUGACCCAAUAUACUUGAACAACGAACCAAGUUACCCUAGGGAUAACAGCGCAAUCCACUUCAAGAGCCCCUAUCGACAAGUGGGUUUACGACCUCGAUGUUGGAUCAGGGUUUCCCAGUGGUGCAGCCGCUACUAAAGGUUCGUUUGUUCAACGAUUAAAACCCUACG